AUUACAUCCAGUCAACUACAGCGCCAAGUUGAGUUCUUGUCAAUGAAGCUUGAAGCAGUCAAUUCAAGGAUGAACCCCUCCUUUGAGGGAUUUGCUUCUAAAGAUCUUCCAAUGACUAGUUCUUCAAACUCUAACGGCUAUAAAUGGUUAGUUUUCUCUUGAAACUUGUGGAGCACCUAUAAAUACAAAUCAAGCAUGAUCUUGAAGAAACUAAUGGA